ACAGAGGAGCUUGCUCCUUGGGUGACGAGCGGCGGACGGGUGAGUAAAGUCUGGGGAUCUGCCUGAUGGAGGGGGAUAACUACUGGAAACGGUAGCUAAUACCGCAUGACGUCUUCGGACCAAAGUGGGGGACCUUCGGGCCUCACGCCAUGAGAUGAACCCAGAUGGGAUUAGCUGGUAGGUGAGGUAACGGCUCACCUAGGCGACGAUCCCUAGCUGGUCUGAGAGGAUGACCAGCCACACUGGAACUGAGACACGGUCCAGACUCCUACGGGAGGCAGCAGUGGGGAAUAUUGCACAAUGGGGGAAACCCUGAUGCAGCCAUGCCGCGUGUGUGAAGAAGGCCUUCGGGUUGUAAAGCACUUUCAGCGGGGAGGAAGGCAAUAAACUUAAUAAGUUUGUUGAUUGACGUUACCCGCAGAAGAAGCACCGGCUAACUCCGUGCCAGCAGCCGCGGUAAUACGGAGGGUGCAAGCGUUAAUCGGAAUGACUGGGCGUAAAGCGCACGCAGGCGGUCUGUUAAGUUGGAUGUGAAAUCCCCGGGCUCAACCCGGGAACAGCAUUCAAAACUGACAGGCUAGAGUCUCGUAGAGGGGGGUAGAAUUCCAGGUGUAGCGGUGAAAUGCGUAGAGAUCUGGAGGAAUACCGGUGGCGAAGGCGGCCCCCUGGACGAAGACUGACGCUCAGGUGCGAAAGCGUGGGGAGCAAACAGGAUUAGAUACCCUGGUAGUCCACGCCGUAAACGAUGUCGACUUGGAGGCUGUGGUCUUGAACCGUGGCUUCCGGAGCUAACGCGUUAAGUCGACCGCCUGGGGAGUACGGCCGCAAGGUUAAAACUCAAAUGAAUUGACGGGGGCCCGCACAAGCGGUGGAGCAUGUGGUUUAAUUCGAUGCAACGCGAAGAACCUUACCUACUCUUGACAUCCAGAGAAGACUGUAGAGAUACGGUUGUGCCUUCGGGAGCUCUGAGACAGGUGCUGCAUGGCUGUCGUCAGCUCGUGUUGUGAAAUGUUGGGUUAAGUCCCGCAACGAGCGCAACCCUUAUCCUUUGUUGCCAGCGAUACGGUCGGGAACUCAAAGGAGACUGCCGGUGAUAAACCGGAGGAAGGUGGGGAUGACGUCAAGUCAUCAUGGCCCUUACGAGUAGGGCUACACACGUGCUACAAUGGCGCAUACAAAGAGAAGCGAGCCUGCGAGGGUGAGCGGACCUCAUAAAGUGCGUCGUAGUCCGGAUUGGAGUCUGCAACUCGACUCCAUGAAGUCGGAAUCGCUAGUAAUCGUAGAUCAGAAUGCUACGGUGAAUACGUUCCCGGGCCUUGUACACACCGCCCGUCACACCAUGGGAGUGGGUUGCAAAAGAAGUAGGUAGCU
rnacentral:rRNA from 1 species